rnacentral:sRNA from 1 species
GAAACAAAAUGAAUGUGCUUUGCCACCGAGACACCUAAUUUUUUUCUCCUCUUACUUUUUUCUCUUCUCUCUCUCUCUGCUGUUCUUCAGACAAAACCUGCUACAACCCCCUCUUCAACUACGAGGACAUGCAGGAGAUCACCCAGCACUUUGCCGUCUGCCACGUGGACGCCCCUGGCCAGCAGGACGGCGCAGCCUCCUUCCCCGCAGGGUACAUGUACCCCUCCAUGGAUCAGCUGGCUGAAAUGCUUCCUGGAGUCCUUCAAGAGUUUGGGUAAGAGCGAAGGAUCAGCUCCUCCUCUGUUUGCAGAGAAGCCUGGUUUCUAGCAUCCUCUUGCCCCUUGGCU